CCUACGGGAGGCAGCAGUUAGGAAUAUUGGACAAUGGGCGAAAGCCUGAUCCAGCCAUGCCGCGUGUGUGAAGAAGGCCUUAGGGUUGUAAAGCACUUUCGUCCGCGAAGAUAAUGACAGUACCGGAAGAAGAAGCUCCGGCUAAAUUCGUGCCAGCAGCCGCGGUAAUACGAAUGGAGCGAGCGUUGUUCGGAAUCACUGGGCGUAAAGCGUGCGCAGGCGGUCAUGAAAGUCAGAAGUGAAAUCCCAGGGCUUAACCUUGGAAUUGCUUUUGAAACCCCAUGACUAGAGUACUGGAGGGGUUAGCGGAAUUCCGAGUGUAGCAGUGAAAUGCGUAGAUAUUCGGAGGAACACCAAUGGCGUAGGCAGCUAACUGGACAGUAACUGACGCUCAGGCACGAAAGCGUGGGGAGCAAACAGGAUUAGAUACCCUGGUAGUCCACGCCCUAAACGAUGUGUGCUAGUUGUCGGGUCCAUAGGACUCGGUGACGCAGCUAACGCUUUAAGCACACCGCCUGGGGAGUACGGUCGCAAGAUUAAAACUCAAAGGAAUUGACGG
rnacentral:rRNA from 1 species